rnacentral:lncRNA from 1 species
CAACCAGUACAUCGACGACAGCGACUACCUCCGCCUCCCCGUCGGCGCCGAGAUCGACCUCGUCCCGAAUCCGAGCCUCGCCGGAUCCUCCUUCUUCUGCGGCGUCACGGCGGUCAAGGUGGCGGCCAUGUACUACACGCCGCCUCUCUGCUAUUAUCCUGAAUCAAUGACGUCAGUUCAGACACAAGGGCCCUUCUUCGUAAACGUGUACACCGCCAUUGACACAGUGGACAAUGUUAAUCCUUUUGUGAGAACACCUCCUCAAGCUGGCUUUGAGUUUGACUGGGAGGCGAAUCAAUGUACCUAAUACAAGAACUCUAACUUAUAAUAAAUAUUUGAUACUAAACACUGUCCGAAGACAUUUAAUCAACAGUCUAAAUCAGUCUGUAAACACGAAUAGCUGAUUGAUAGUUUAUGAACACUAAGAUAAACACGGAAAUGAAUGAAAAUGAGGAUAAUUUCCUGUAGUCAUGGUGUUUUUACUUGUAAAUAGAUAAAUUUUAUUGUUUGAGAGUAAAAUGAGUAUUUAUAUCUAUA